UUGGAUAACCGUGGUAAUUCUAGAGCUAAUACAUGCUGGAAACCCCGACUUCGGAAGGGAUGUAUUUAUUAGAUAAAAAACCAAUGCCCUUCGGGGCUUCUUGGUGAUUCAUAAUAACUUUACGGAUCGCAUGGCCUUGCGCCGGCGACGGUUCAUUCAAAUUUCUGCCCUAUCAACUUUCGAUGGUAAGGUAUUGGCUUACCAUGGUUUCAACGGGUAACGGGGAAUUAGGGUUCGAUUCCGGAGAGGGAGCCUGAGAAACGGCUACCACAUCCAAGGAAGGCAGCAGGCGCGCAAAUUACCCAAUCCCGACACGGGGAGGUAGUGACAAUAAAUACUGAUACAGGGCUCUUUUGGGUCUUGUAAUUGGAAUGAGUACAAUUUAAACCUCUUAACGAGGAACAAUUGGAGGGCAAGUCUGGUGCCAGCAGCCGCGGUAAUUCCAGCUCCAAUAGCGUAUAUUAAAGUUGUUGCAGUUAAAAAGCUCGUAGUUGAAACUUGGGUCUGGCUGGCAGGUCCGCCUCACCGCGUGUACUUGUCCGGCCGGGCCUUCCUUCUGGAGAACCUCAUGCCCUUCACUGGGCGUGUUGGGGACCAGGACUUUUACUUUGAAAAAAUUAGAGUGUUCAAAGCAGGCCUUUGCUCGAAUACGUUAGCAUGGAAUAAUAGAAUAGGACGUGCGGUCCUAUUUUGUUGGUUUCUAGGACCGCCGUAAUGAUUAAUAGGGACAGUCGGGGGCAUCAGUAUUCAAUUGUCAGAGGUGAAAUUCUUGGAUUUAUUGAAGACUAACUACUGCGAAAGCAUUUGCCAAGGAUGUUUUCAUUAAUCAGUGAACGAAAGUUAGGGGAUCGAAGACGAUCAGAUACCGUCGUAGUCUUAACCGUAAACUAUGCCGACUAGGGAUCGGGCGAUGUUCUUUUUCUGACUCGCUCGGCACCUUACGAGAAAUCAAA
rnacentral:rRNA from 1 species